GAUGAACGCUAGCGGCAGGCCUAACACAUGCAAGUCGAGGGGUAGUUACUUUCGGGUAAUGAGACCGGCGCACGGGUGCGUAACGCGUAUGCAAUCUACCUUUUACAGGGGAAUAGCCCAGAGAAAUUUGGAUUAAUACCUCAUAGUAUGUGAGAAUCGCAUGGUUUUCACAUUAAAGUUCCAACGGUAAAAGAUGAGCAUGCGUCCCAUUAGCUAGAUGGUAAGGUAACGGCUUACCAUGGCGACGAUGGGUAGGGGUCCUGAGAGGGAGAUCCCCCACACUGGUACUGAGACACGGACCAGACUCCUACGGGAGGCAGCAGUGAGGAAUAUUGGACAAUGGGCGCAAGCCUGAUCCAGCCAUGCCGCGUGCAGGAUGACGGUCCUAUGGAUUGUAAACUGCUUUUGUACAGGAAGAAACACUCCCUCGUGAGGGAGCGUUGACGGUACUGUAAGAAUAAGGAUCGGCUAACUCCGUGCCAGCAGCCGCGU
rnacentral:rRNA from 1 species